rnacentral:rRNA from 1 species
GAUGAACGCUGACAGAAUGCUUAACACAUGCAAGUCGAUGGGGAAGUGGUGCUUGCACCAUGGCAACCAUGGCGGACGGGUGAGUAACGCGUAAGGGACUUACCUGCAGGACUGGGAUAACAGGGGGAAACUCCUGACAAGACCGGAUAAUGUCAUGGAGCUGCAUGGCUUUAUGAUGAAAGGAGACGCCUGCGGAGAGCCUUGCGUCCUAUUAGCUAGUUGGUGAGGUAAUGGCUCACCAAGGCGAAGAUAGGUAGCCGGCCUGAGAGGGUGGACGGCCACAAGGGGACAGAGAUACGGCCCUUACUCCUACGGGAGGCAGCAGUGGGGAAUAUUGGACAAUGGGGGCAACCCUGAUCCAGCAAUUCUGUGUGCACGAAGAAGGUUUUCGGAUUGUAAAGUGCUUUCAGCAGGGAAGAAGUAAGUGACGGUACCUGCAGAAGAAGCGACGGCUAAAUACGUG